AGAGCACACGGAGGAUGCCUAGGCACUAGGAGCCGAAGAAGGACGUGGCGAACGACGAAAUGCCUCGGGGAGCCGUAAGCAGGCUUUGAUCCGGGGAUGUCCGAAUGGGGGAACCCAGCUGUGGUAAUGCGCAGUUACUCUAUUGUGAAUACAUAGCAAUAGUAGAGGCAUACCCAGGGAACUGAAACAUCUAAGUACCUGGAGGAAAAGAAAACAAAAGUGAUUCCGUCAGUAGCGGCGAGCGAAAGCGGAAUAGCCCAAACCAAGGAGCUUGCUCCUUGGGGUUGUAGGACCUCGUUGUGGGGUUAGUUCGGUAGGCGAAGUGAUCUGGAAAGGUCCGGCAUAGAAGGUAAAAGCCCUGUAGCCAAAAUCGAACGAAAUCCCUAGAGGUAUCCUGAGUACGGCGGGUCACGUGAAACCCCGUCGGAAUCCGGCAGGACCAUCUGCCAAGGCUAAAUACUCCCUAGUGACCGAUAGUGAAGCAGUACCGUGAGGGAAAGGUGAAAAGCACCGCGGAAGCGGAGUGAAAAAGAACCUGAAACCGUGUGCUUACAAAAAGUCAGAGCCCUCUAUAUGGGUGAUGGCGUGCCUUUUGUAGAAUGAACCGGCGAGUUACGUUCCCGUGCGAGGUUAAGUUGAAAAGACGGAGCCGCAGCGAAAGCGAGUCUGAAUAGGGCGCUUUAGUACGUGGACGUAGACCCGAAACCGUGUGAUCUACCCCUGUCCAGGGUGAAGGUGAGGUAACACUCACUGGAGGCCCGAACCCACGCAUGUUGAAAAAUGCGGGGAUGAGGUGGGGGUAGCGGAGAAAUUCCAAUCGAACUCGGAGAUAGCUGGUUCUCCCCGAAAUAGCUUUAGGGCUAGCCUCGGAUGUUGAGUUGUGGAGGUAAAGCACUGAUUGGGUGCGGGGCCCGCCAAGGGUUACCAAGUCCAGUCAAACUCUGAAUGCCACAAACUUAAAUCCGGGAGUCAGACAGUGAGUGCUAAGAUCCAUUGUCAAAAGGGAAACAGCCCAGACCAUCAGCUAAGGUCCCCAAGUGUGUGUUAAGUGGGAAAGGAUGUGGAGUUGCACAGACAACCAGGAUGUUGGCUUAGAAGCAGCCACCAUUGAAAGAGUGCGUAAUAGCUCACUGGUCGAGUGACUCUGCGCCGAA
rnacentral:rRNA from 1 species